rnacentral:lncRNA from 1 species
CAACUUUGUAGCAAAUUGAUUAAAAGAAAUAAGUCUAAGAAAGUAAUUUAAAGACUAAAAGAGUUAAAAAAAAACCCAAAUUUUUAUACAAAAUUGUGAAUAAUGAGAAAGAAAGAGAAGAUUGAAGAACCUGAUUGAUUGAGGGUGUGAAACUGUGAAAUUGUGAAUUGCAUAAAAUCGUGUUCUUAUCCAAAAUUUUGGAGUUAGAGAGAUCAGAGAUGAACUGUGAUUGUGAUUUGUGAGAGAGAUCAGAGAUGAAGUCUCGAAGAGUCGAAGAGAGAGUGAGUCAGUGAGAGACGAUGAGGAAACCCUUGUGGCUUGUUUUCAUAAUUUCAUCUUCUCUGUGUAUUAGUGUAUAUUAAGAAAGUAAUAGUUUCUUAGUUAGAAAGUAAAUCUAUAUUGGGAUUUGGGAAAAGGGACAAAAAUGUGGACCAAAACUUAAUAAACAAAAUUGAGGGGAGUCAACCAACGUAUCUACCAUAAAAAAAAUCCUGAAAUCUCUUCACUAAAUUUUUUUUUCCAAAUUUUCAGGGGUAUCAAUGGAUACCCCAGGACCCCCCUUAGAUCCGCCACUGAACAUCAUAAUGGAAAAUAAUAGAUUAAUAUUGAAUAUUGAUUGAAUACAAUGAAAGUUGAUCGUCAAGGUGGAGGCUAAAAGAUUAGGUUGAAGAUAACAAACCUAGUUACAACUUCUCUUAUAUAGACAUUACAAAGUAGAAUACUUGCAUGUAAAGACUUCCAAACUUGGUGAAAUUUGUGGCUGCUGCUGUUGGUCUCCUAGAGAGAUUAGUAAAUCAGCAAAACGUAAUUAUCUUGGGCUUAAAUUGUAGCUUAGGCCAAAACCUUCAGUUUGAUAGCUCAUGGGCCCCAAUCGGAUUUCUGGAUCUUCUUGUGAAGCCUUUUUAAGAUUAAUACCCAAAAUAGAAAUUCAGGUCCACGAAAGUCAACAGAGUUGACCAAAGUCAGCAAGGUCCAACAGUUGACCGAAAGUCAGCAGAAGUCAAGCAUGGACUAAAAGUCAAUAAUUACCCAAAAGUCAACUGAAGUCAAAGUUGGCAAAAAAGUCAACCAAAGUCAAAGUUGACAAAAAAAGUCAAGUCAACACUAGUCAACCACGUGGAGCCCUUAGCAGAUUUCACGGAUGCAAAUACCUAUUCUUCUUCCCUUGUGCUAAUAACACCUUUUUGCUUGUUUUUUCUCGACUUUUUGCCGGCUCUUACAUAAUAUUUGCAUUUCAGGUCAUGAAACCUACAUAAAAGACAAGAAAUCACUAAUCAAUAGAUAUAAUGCAAUAAUAUAAGCUAAGUGCUAGACAAACAAGGUGUUAUUCGGGGGGAUAAAUAUACACUUUUGAGGUCCGGACAAAAAGUGUAAAUAAAUAUAAAAUUUAGUUAUAAAAUCAAUUGGUAUAAUUUUUUUUGAAGUAACUUUGGAGAAGGACACUAAUCAUGUUUUCCUUCUCCAAAAAGAUAAUCUCAUUUGAGUCAACCCUCCAUAAGGACAAACUCUUUAAAAGUCUUUGCUCAAAAGGACAAAGACUUUUGUUGACUUGUUCGAAAGUACAAAGACUUAUGAUUUCAGGUAGAAUCAUAGUGUCAAAAAUUUGUGCAAUUCUAUAUUUGCCCUUUCCCACUAGGGUUAAUUACUCCCUACAUAGGUUAUAGUGUUUUGUGCUAGAAAAAAAUUUCUGAUAUAUGAUUCGACCUAAAAUCAAACUAUGAUUUGGGUGGGUAUUUUAGUCCAAAACUUGUUGACUUCAAAGCCCUCUUCAAUACGAUUGCAACUCUUUUUGUCCUUUUGAAUAAGUCUCCCAUGUUUUUUUCUUUUUAAUUUGUUUUAUGGGUAAAAUUUGUGAGAGCUUGAUGAUCAUAUAGAGUGCCACAUAGGAAAGAGAGUGGGGGACUCAUUGGGUCUAGCUAUUAUAUAGAUAUAUAGAUUCGUUGCUACUAUAAAACCUUUAUUCAAUAAAUAAAAAAAAAACUUUUAUGCGCAUCAUACGUAUAUGAUACAUUAAAAACCAAAAUAAAUACGAUACACAUGCGACAACUAUUGUUCAAAAUCUCGAUGCUCAAGAUCUCGACAAGUCUAAAAUUCGAGAUCUCGUUUGACAACUAUUGAAUAAGUUUUAGGAGCGGUCCUUCAGUACCCGCUCAAGUUCAAACUAACUUAAGCGACUCUUAGUUGCCCGUUGAAGUUCAACUUAACCAAACAUUACGUUGAGCGACACCCCAUUGGUCACCCAGUAAGAUGAUUUUUUUACUAAGAAUAUGAGCGACUUUCUUUUGGCAGUCCCAUAACAUGCAAGCGAGUGUUAAAAGCCUGCCCCAAAGAAACGGUUUUUAAAUGAGCGCUUAACCACUGUUGCCGGCUUAAGUUUGAUUAACUAUUAGAGAAAAAGAUUUUUUGUAGCAAAUAAAACACAAAAUGGGUAUCAAAUGUGCUUAGGUGGUCGGUGGAGAAAAAAAAAAAGCUUUAUCAAAAUGGGUAGCAAAUAAUUAGCGGACAACUUUAUCAAAUUCAGGGACCAAAAAUCUGGAGCGAUUGUGCUUAUGGAUGGUCAGGAUUUAAUCAAGAUCUGUAGAUCAGUGGUUGAGAUCUUUUCUUAGACCAAAUACAUUACGUAUUUCAAACUUUUAAGUUUUGACCGACCUAACAGCAAUUAACGGUAUAAUCGAAAGAGCUUCCACCAACUUCCACCAAUGUGACCUUCUUAUCCAACGGUCAUUAUUUUAUAAACUGAAAAACAAGAUACUCAUAAACCCUUCUUGCUUUUUCUUCUCGUUAACAAAGGAAUCACAAAAUCUUUCAAUGCGACAAUAAACUCUUUGCAAUUCUUUUUUUAAGGAGUUAAGAAUUACUGUAAGAAUCAACCCAUUCUUCGAUCAUCCUUUGUUCAUAAACCCUUUUUGUUUUUUCUUAUCCAACGGUCAUUAUUUUAUAAAUUGGAAAACAAGACACCUGAAUUCAUAAACCGUUCUUGCUUUUUCUUCUCGUUAACUGAGGAAUCACAAAAAUUUUCAAUUCGACAAUCAACUCUUUUCAAUUCCUUUUAUAAGGAGUUAAGCACUACUGUAAGAAUCAACCUAUUAUUCGAUUAUCCUUUGUUUUUUUCUUUUCUUGUUCUUCAGUUUUCUUGAAUAUCAAUGGUGAACCUUAACAUCAAUAAUCAACACAUUUGUUUUAAUUCUUACACUGAGUUUCUUGAUAAGUUCAAAAGAGUGGCAAUACACAAUGGUUAUAUGGUAUAUGAUAUAGGAGUUUUACCCUAAAUUAGAUUAAAAUUCACAGAGGAUGUCACCCUCUAUGGACUUGGCGGCCAAACAUUAUUCCUACACAUACAGCAAGAUAAUUUGUACUUGCUUAGAUUUAAAACCAAAAAAGGUAAUAACUGGUAUAGGUUAUAAAAAAUAGUCCAUGAGAAGGACGACCCAAUUUUGAAAACAUAUGAAAAGAUUGGUUUGAUGAAUCUUAUCAUCAUUUGUGCAAUGACAAGUUAAGCAGCAUAAAUUUAAGUUUCCGAAGUUUAGAAGCGGCAUUUCUGGAAGUAUAUCGAUUCGCCGAAAACCCUAUGAGAAUGUGGGACCCAUUGGGUCUAGCUAUUAUAUAGAUAUAUAGAUUUGUUGCUACUAUAAAACUUUUAUUCAAUAAAUAAUAAUAAAAAAAAAAAUGUUUAUGCGCAUCAUACGCAGUGGCGGAUCUAAGGGGGUCAUAGGGUAUCACUUGACACCCCUGAAUUUUUGCAAUUUUUUACUAUAUAUGUUUAAUUUUUAAGAAUUUUAAAUAUGUUUAUUACCAAAAAUACUAUAUUGUAUCUUCUAAUAAAGUAAUAUCUGUUAAAUUGUUUUUCAUUCCCAUAAUGUAAGCAUUUUGUAAAAGAUCUGGAAGAUCUUACAUAAAUAAAAUGUUAAAUAUCUUUACAUUUAUGUACGUAAUAGAAAAUUACAAUUCUUUUAUGUGUAUUUUUCGCCAACCUUCUAAAAAAUAUUAAUUUUGAAUUAUAUAAAAAAAAAUUCAAUCAACAAUCUCCUUUAUUCGAAUUUUGGUCUUUAACAUGAUGUUUUAGGGACAGAGGUGCAAGUUUUGUCUGGUGGCAUGCUCUCUUAUAAUUGGGUCGAGUUGGUUGGGGUCUCAUAAUCUGACGGUAUCAUCUCAUGGCAUGUUGUUCAGAAUUGUUUGGGUGGUUUAUUUAUCAAUAAAUUGUGAAUUAUAUAAAAAUAAAAAUAAAAAUGACGUCUGAAAUGAAAUAGACAAAAUUUUGAAGUAAUUACUUACUUGUUUUUCUUGUUUAUAUCAACUUGAUUAUAUUUAUUUAUUUUUAAUUAAAGUCUAUUUUACACGAAAUGAUAGUUUUCUUGACCCCCCUGGCAGAAGGUCCUAGAUCCGCCACUGAUCAUACGUACACGAUACAUUAAAAACCAAAAUCAAUACGAUACAAAUGCGACAACUAUUAUUCAAAAUCUCGAAUUCCUCAAGAUCUCAACAAGUCUAAAAUUCGAGAUCUCGUUUGCCAACUAUUGAAUAAGUUUUGGGAGCAAAUUUCGAUACACAUUUAUACCUAAUUAAUAUUUUUAAAUUUAUUUUCACUAGAUUUCUUCUUAAUUAAAAGUACUUAUUCGCAAUAACCCCAAAUCAACCCAUUUUGAGUUGAUUAAGUCAUUUUAAAAAGAUAUGUAAAUUGAAUUCUACGAAUUUCACAAUUUCAAGUUCAAACUUACAUUUAGAACAAAUUAGUAUUUACAAUUAAUAGCAAUCCUUUAAUUUAACUUAAAAAAAAAUCAAAUAACUUUUCAAUUCAUUUUUAAACAAUUCACCAAUUCACCUCGAGUAUCUCAACACUAGAAAUAUAAUUUCUCACGAGAUCUCACAAUUUCUCACGAGAUCUCGAACUUAUCGACAAGGUUGGUAUGGAAAUCAGACCACGAAUAUCUUGUACCGAAUACUUCAAUUUCCAAGAUAUCUCACGAGAUUUUGAACAAUGGUGAAAACUAUGUAGUGGAGUUACGGGUGAAAAUCGGACGGAACGAAUCGAAAAUGGCAUGUUUGGAAACCUCCGUGUAUCUUCCCUGAAAACCCAAAUGCUUAAGUAUGGUCAUAAUGAAACUAGGUAAAGGAAGAGUACCCUUAGCUGCGUCAAGCAUCCUUGAGUAAAUGACCUCUGAAAGGUAGUUAUAAUGCACAGACAUACACACGAUCAACUUCACCAUAUCAUCUGUAAGAAUGAUCUUGUUACCCUUUGUUGGAAAGAUGUUCGAGUGGGCAACCAUGUGCAGAAGAAUGACGCUGUAGGCCCUGGAAUGGUAUCUCUGAGUGACACCAUCAAUAAACAUCCCUUGAGCUUAACUGACCAAGUCAAAAUGAGUCUCAUCCGGAAUUGGCCACAUUACAUGCACUUGACUCAAUGGCAUCCGAUGCCCAUCGAUUCCCAAUGCCUCACUGAUCACCUUCGGAGAAAUAGUAUAUCUCCUACCUUCAAUCAAAACGGAGAAACUCGUGCGAUUCUGUGAAGGUGUCUUGGUCUCAUAGAAGGCAAUCGUGUGCUCGACCAAGUACUUGGUUAUCGGUUGAGCCACCCUUAACCAGUUUCGUUCUUCAAAGAACGAAGAGAUGUUGCCGAGUUGAGUAGCUCCUAAAGGACUUGCGGUGAUGUCUCGCAAGUCAAAGAAACACUCAGGAACAAUGGCCUUCGCUCGAGGAUGAAUACCAAGGGGUCUGGGAGGAGGCGAGGAGUCCAAAGGAGGAGCACCCCUACCCCUUUGAGAGGCGUGUACCUCGUGAUCCCGAAUAAGACGCACCCCUAGAGCCGGGUGUAGUGCGAGCGCGCUUAGGAGGCAUGUCCUGCACAAACAUAACCCGAUACAAACCAACAGUGUGAGAAAAACACAACACCAAACAAGAGAAACAAACAAUUGGACUCAUGUAGACAUUUCAUCAAACACAUGGUGUGCAAACAAUUGGACUCAUGUAGAUCAUUUCUUGAGAUUACUCGACCGCACAAACUUGAUAUUAUGCUUUUAAACACCAUUUCUUGAGAUUACUCGACGGCCAAACUUGAUAUUAGUCUUUUAAACACAAUGCGAAGGGCAGUGGCGGAUCUAGGAGUUUGAUCUAGGGGUAUCAACUAUUAUAUAGAAGGACGACAAAUUUUUUUUUCCACAUGUAAUAUAUAUUAAUGACGCACAAAAAUUGUGACAUCUUCGUUCAACUAAGAUAAUGCAUAACAUAAAUAAUAUAAAAUACACCCAUAGUUAUAGGUAAAUUUGAUAAUUAAUGACUUACAAGAUCAUUUGCAGAUAACGUCUUCGUUCACUUAAGUAUCUUAGUCACAACUCACAAAUUCACUCUAACCUGUAUAUACAAUGAACUUCUAAUCAAAAUCAGCUCAUUAUUCAGAACAAAUAGACUACUGGAUAUAUAAAAGCCACCAAUGUACGUGAGUAAAUUUACACACAGAAAUAAACAAACAAAAAAAAAGUUGUAUCAUACCAUGAAUUCAUAACAUGAAAUUGCCUGAUUGACUGAUUCACCAAAUAUUUAUUUGUUAGUUUCAUAACAUGAAAUUGCCGCAAACUCGCAAAGACUCGACAAACCAAAACUAAAUUGAUUAAUAAUAGUGUAGUGUGAUUUAAUAAUUAAUACUUAUAAUCCUACCAAGAUCACAACUUUGUAGCAUAAUCCUACCAUUCUACCAAGAUCACAACUUUGUAGCAAAUUGAUUAAAAGAAAUAAGUCUAAGAAAGUAAUUUAAAGACUAAAAGAGUUAAAAAAAACCCAAAUUUUUAUACAAAAUUGUGAAUAAUGAGAAAGAAUGAGAAGAUUGAAGAACCUGAUUGAUUGAGGGUGUGAAACUGUGAAAUUGUGAAUUGCAUAAAAUCGUGUUCUUAUCCAAAAUUUUGGAGUUAGAGAGAUCAGAGAUGAACUGUGAUUGUGAUUUGUGAGAGAGAUCAGAGAUGAAGUCUCGAAGAGUCGAAGAGAGAGUGAGUCAGUGAGAGACAAUGAGGAAACCCUUGUGGCUUGUUUUCAUAAUUUCAUCUUCUCUGUGUAUUAGUGUAUAUUAAGAAAGUAAUAGUUUCUUAGUUAGAAAGUAAAUCUAUAUUGGGAUUUGGGAA